rnacentral:rRNA from 1 species
CACGUAGGGUGCGAGCGUUGUCCGGAAUUACUGGGCGUAAAGAGCUCGUAGGUGGUUUGUCGCGUUGUUCGUGAAAACUCACAGCUUAACUGUGGGCGUGCGGGCGAUACGGGCAGACUGGAGUACUGCAGGGGAGACUGGAAUUCCUGGUGUAGCGGUGGAAUGCGCAGAUAUCAGGAGGAACACCGGUGGCGAAGGCGGGUCUCUGGGCAGUAACUGACGCUGAGGAGCGAAAGCUAGGGGAGCAAACAGG